GUUAAGCGACUAAGCGUACACGGUGGAUGCCCUGGCAGUCAGAGGCGAUGAAGGACGUGCUAAUCUGCGAUAAGCGUCGGUAAGGUGAUAUGAACCGUUAUAACCGGCGAUUUCCGAAUGGGGAAACCCAGUGUGUUUCGACACACUAUCAUUAACUGAAUCCAUAGGUUAAUGAGGCGAACCGGGGGAACUGAAACAUCUAAGUACCCCGAGGAAAAGAAAUCAACCGAGAUUCCCCCAGUAGCGGCGAGCGAACGGGGAGCAGCCCAGAGCCUGAAUCAGUGUGUGUGUUAGUGGAAGCGUCUGGAAAGGCGCGCGAUACAGGGUGACAGCCCCGUACACAAAAAUGCACAUGCUGUGAGCUCGAUGAGUAGGGCGGGACACGUGGUAUCCUGUCUGAAUAUGGGGGGACCAUCCUCCAAGGCUAAAUACUCCUGACUGACCGAUAGUGAACCAGUACCGUGAGGGAAAGGCGAAAAGAACCCCGGCGAGGGGAGUGAAAAAGAACCUGAAACCGUGUACGUACAAGCAGUGGGAGCACGCUUAGGCGUGUGACUGCGUACCUUUUGUAUAAUGGGUCAGCGACUUAUAUUCUGUAGCAAGGUUAACCGAAUAGGGGAGCCGAAGGGAAACCGAGUCUUAACUGGGCGUUAAGUUGCAGGGUAUAGACCCGAAACCCGGUGAUCUAGCCAUGGGCAGGUUGAAGGUUGGGUAACACUAACUGGAGGACCGAACCGACUAAUGUUGAAAAAUUAGCGGAUGACUUGUGGCUGGGGGUGAAAGGCCAAUCAAACCGGGAGAUAGCUGGUUCUCCCCGAAAGCUAUUUAGGUAGCGCCUCGUGAAUUCAUCUCCGGGGGUAGAGCACUGUUUCGGCAAGGGGGUCAUCCCGACUUACCAACCCGAUGCAAACUGCGAAUACCGGAGAAUGUUAUCACGGGAGACACACGGCGGGUGCUAACGUCCGUCGUGAAGAGGGAAACAACCCAGACCGCCAGCUAAGGUCCCAAAGUCAUGGUUAAGUGGGAAACGAUGUGGGAAGGCCCAGACAGCCAGGAUGUUGGCUUAGAAGCAGCCAUCAUUUAAAGAAAGCGUAAUAGCUCACUGGUCGAGUCGGCCUGCGCGGAAGAUGUAACGGGGCUAAACCAUGCACCGAAGCUGCGGCAGCGACGCUUAUGCGUUGUUGGGUAGGGGAGCGUUCUGUAAGCCUGCGAAGGUGUGCUGUGAGGCAUGCUGGAGGUAUCAGAAGUGCGAAUGCUGACAUAAGUAACGAUAAAGCGGGUGAAAAGCCCGCUCGCCGGAAGACCAAGGGUUCCUGUCCAACGUUAAUCGGGGCAGGGUGAGUCGACCCCUAAGGCGAGGCCGAAAGGCGUAGUCGAUGGGAAACAGGUUAAUAUUCCUGUACUUGGUGUUACUGCGAAGGGGGGACGGAGAAGGCUAUGUUGGCCGGGCGACGGUUGUCCCGGUUUAAGCGUGUAGGCUGGUUUUCCAGGCAAAUCCGGAAAAUCAAGGCUGAGGCGUGAUGACGAGGCACUACGGUGCUGAAGCAACAAAUGCCCUGCUUCCAGGAAAAGCCUCUAAGCAUCAGGUAACAUCAAAUCGUACCCCAAACCGACACAGGUGGUCAGGUAGAGAAUACCAAGGCGCUUGAGAGAACUCGGGUGAAGGAACUAGGCAAAAUGGUGCCGUAACUUCGGGAGAAGGCACGC
rnacentral:rRNA from 1 species